CCUCGGCGUGGGGCACGGCGUCGACCUCGCGUCGCUCGUGGCGACGUCGACCUGGAUGGCCGGGCAGCUCGGACGGCCCAGCCCGUCGGCCGUGGU
rnacentral:tRNA from 1 species